CAGAUCAAAAUGCAUGGAGAAUGCAGAAGUGUGACAACCUGCAAACUGAAAAUGACUGAUGAGCGAAUCUAGGAGCUGGAUCAGACCACAGACCAGUAUUACAAUAUUAAACCCCAAUCCUGCAACUGACUUUGUGUGGAUCGACUACUGCACCCUUCUGGAGCCUCACGACUUCAGUGGGGCUCUGUGCCUGCUCAGCUGCCGACCUGUGUGCUCUCAGAGCUUUGAAUUUGACUUUUUCAUUAAUUUAUUAUCAGUCAUGUUUCAGGAAUAUAUUCUCUGCAUGUAAUCUAGGAUUUCAAUCUCCAAUGAAAAUGUGACCAAG